ACAUGCGGCCUUCUUCGACGAUGGUGUGCGACGACGACGGCAGAGCUCGGCAAUGCGACCACCUCUCCUCCAGCGACGAAACCAGCAAGGCGGUGCCUCCCCUAUUUUCCGGCGACGUACAGCAGAGCACGACAGCGGCAUUUGCGAAGCAGAGCACUCCGGCGAGGUUAAUGGCGACUCCGGGCAGUGGCGGUGGACUUGGCGAUAGCUGGUGGCAGUGCUGGCGGUUCUGUGAAGCGGAGUUGCGAUCUUCUCUCUCCCCCUCCUGUUCGGCGCUCGACGAGCGAAUAGCAACGACUUCCUCUCCCGUGUUUCCGGCGCGGAUCUUCUCUCCUGCAAGCUGGUUCAGUGCUAGAGGCUGAAGUUGGAUUAGUGCAUGGAUUAAUAUAUUGACUUGAGGUAUGGAGUAGAUUGAGCCGAGAGCGCGCUAGAGAUAGAUCUACUUCGUCCUAUGCUUAGUCUAGUGAUCUGUUUAGAUGUUUUUCAGGCCUGUGUGCCUCAAACUAUGUUUAUGUAUUGACUAUUUCAGUUAUGUUACCUUGAUGGAUUAGUAUUGUGGAUUUUUAGCCUGUGCAUCUAGGUUCAGAUUUGCCUAGAUGUGGCAUGCCACCCUUUGAGUACUAGUAUGCUUCCGCUUUA